rnacentral:rRNA from 1 species
UGGGGAAUUUUGGACAAUGGGCGAAAGCCUGAUCCAGCAAUGCCGCGUGUGUGAAGAAGGCCUUCGGGUUGUAAAGCACUUUUGUCCGGAAAGAAAUCCUUGGCUCUAAUACAGUCGGGGGAUGACGGUACCGGAAGAAUAAGCACCGGCUAACUACGUGCCAGCAGCCGCGGUAAUACGUAGGGUGCAAGCGUUAAUCGGAAUUACUGGGCGUAAAGCGUGCGCAGGCGGUUUGCUAAGACCGAUGUGAAAUCCCCGGGCUCAACCUGGGAACUGCAUUGGUGACUGGCAGGCUAGAGUAUGGCAGAGGGGGGUAGAAUUCCACGUGUAGCAGUGAAAUGCGUAGAGAUGUGGAGGAAUACCGAUGGCGAAGGCAGCCCCCUGGGGCCAAUACUGACGCUCAUGCACGAAAGCGUGGGGGAGCAAAACAGGAUUAGAUACCCUGGUAGUCCACGCCCUAAACGAUGUCAACUAGUUGUCGGGGAUUCAUUUCCUUAGUAACGUAGCUAACGCGUGAAGGUUGACCGCCUGGGGAGUACGGUCGCAAGAUUAAAACUCAAAUGAAUUGACGGGGUCAUAGCUGUUUCCU